GUAAUGCACUGAGGGAUAACCAGGGCUGCUCGCAGAGGGAACCUGUGCCAGCACUGGAAGUGCAGCAAGGCUCUGAUUGCUGGGGAGGCUGAGAGAGGCUGCUUCCCUCCAAAACCUCGGUGAUUGCCCUCGAGAGAAAACAUUUCAGCAGAGCACGGAGAUCCACUGAAACCAGAAUGAUUCAUUGGGGUUGAAAAUGUGAAUUUAUUUCUUUUAAUGCGCCAUGCGUAUGGAGGGACCGCAUUGGUCCUGAUUUAUUUUAUAAAAGGAGGAUAGGGGAGAAAAAUCUGCGCUUUUCCGUGGCUUCAGUUGGGUUCAGCUCAAAAUGAGAUCAGUGGAGACUGGUGGAUCUUUAAGACCCCACAGAAAUGAUCCAGGACAAGAGGAAGAAGUGUUUCAACCCUCAGGAAUAAAGUGGCUACCAAUCUUUGGUGGUAUCAUCCCAUAAAUGACUGGUGAGAACUGGCUAAAAUCUUUUGGUUUUAAUGGAACUAUGAAGCUCUCAAAGCUCAUGAAAAUGGUCAAGGAGAGCCACAAAUGAGAGUCAGAACUCUACAGAGAAUUUCUGAUACCAGGUUGCUUCAUUCUCAUUCACCACAGGGCAAAAAUCUUCCAAACACUCAUGAAAGCUCUGGAGAAAUGCCGGGAUGCGUCUUCCAAAGGAGUUUUGUUGGACGUGAGGAAUUUGCUGAUGGAGAGUGUGGGGCUGCUCCUCUCCCUUUAAUGCUUUAUCCACAUGGGGCAGUAGCAGAAUAAAACUCCAGAGCCUUGUAGGAGCAAUGUUCCUGCCUUUAAGUUGUGGUGAGACCAUUGAUCAUGUUGCUGAUAAAGCAGCUUAGGCUGUGACAAGCAAUUGGCCGCUGCAGCGUUUGCAGGGAGAAAUCAAGGCUUUGGAACACAACCCUUGGGCUUAAAAUAGCAAAACUCCCUUGGAGAAGGAGCCCUUACAAUGUGUGUUCCUUAAAUAGACCCACAAGCAAGAAAAUAAACCCUGUUUUACACACAGCCAGAAUGAGGGGAAAAUAAACUCGGCAGUUGCUGUGUGAAUGAGUGACAAAGUCACAACCUGAGGCUGAAUCACCUGAUUCUGAAUGGGCUGAUUUUCCUGCUCUUUUAUGUGUUGGAAAGAUAAGGAUAAACCUGGAAUGAUUUUAAAUAAAUUCGUGCCUGGCUGGCUUUUUUUGGUGGUACACAAAACAGGGAAAAUAAAGAAAAUCGUGAAUGUGGUCCCUCACCUUGCUGAGGUGAGGAGGGAAGGAAUAACACAAACACAAACAAUGAGAUUUGCUGUGAUCACCCUUCAUUCACCCUUGGACCUCACCCACAUCAGCACUGCAUUUCCUAAAGCAAAAAUGAGGAUGCGAAGCAUCUGACAAUACGAAAAAGAGUCAACACCAUACUAAAAUAGUGGAAUUGCACUGUGGAUUCCUAUUUUGUUACCUCUGAAAAUCUCCAUUCUGCUACUCAUCGUAAAGCAUGAUCUAUUUGAGCCUUUAUGAACUUGUUCUCUGCUAAAUGCUGACAGCUUGAUGAUAUUUUCCAAGAUUCAGUGGCUUCUCCUCGAAAAGGAGUCAAGUUAGGCUCAUGUGUAAAAUAUUAACCAUGUGUUCAUCCCCAAAUUUGACCAUGAUUAUCUAAUGAACUGAGCAAGGCAACAUUUUAUCGUCAAAUGAAUUGGUCACCAAAAAGUGCAGUUUUGAAGAGAUCCUGAUAGCUGGAAAAUAUUCUUCCUGGCCAAAUGGAAUAUUUUGGAAACACCAGCAUUUGUCAUUUCAACUUGCUGAAUUCUCACAUUUAGGUGCUUAUCAGGAAAGGAGAGGCCUCUAAAACACAGAUGGAAGAAGUAGAUCUCCAGUAUAUAUAUGGGAAAUUAUGAGCACAGCAGGCAGAUAUUUCACAGACAUUUCAAGAGCUUCCUCAAAGUGCCCCAUUUGGGACCAGGAAUGAGAAUUUUGCCUCUGGAUGUCUGUUAGCAGGGGUGACUUGGGUCCCAUGGGCCCCACUAUGUGUUAUAUAUAUGAAACACAAUAUAUUAUUGUGUAACUUCAAUAUAUUAUUUCUCUUGUUAUGUAUAUAUAACACAAUAUAUUAUUGUGUAACUUCAAUAUAUUAUUUCUCUUUACUAAUUCAAAGCAAAUUUUUUUUAUUUUUCUGCUGAAGGAGAAAAAGAACAUGUGCUGUGAGAGGAGCCUUUUUCUCCCCAAAGCCUGCGGACAAGAAGCUCAUAAACGAGCAUCUGAAGUUCAGCUACUGUCAGGAAUCCAUAUUUAGAUUCUGUUUUUGCAAAAAAUAAAUUAUGUUUAAAUGUAAGUAGGAGGGAAAUGCUUUAAUGUUGUCAGGCAGGAGCACCUCGGAGUCAGCAGAAAACAGGAUUGAGCAGGUGCCCAAACUCUGGGCACAUGCUGAAAUGCUUUGCUGCUUUCUGACCCCAAAUGAGCAGCCUGACAAGCAGCUCUGUUCAGGGUGGUCUGAAAUCUCUUACUGGGAGCUGGUUUAGAUCAGGGGGAGGGAUGAGGCUGGGGAACAUAAAUGUUCUCUGGGGCCCAUUUCGGUUUUUAUGAGGAAGGUAUUCCAGCCAGAAGGAAAGGGCUAAGAUCAAGCCAGCCAUCUUCCAGGUGAGCCUGCAGCCUUUAAAGCCCUCUGUCAGGGCCCUUAAUAACUUUGCCAUGUGUAAACACCCCUGAUGCUUUUCUUCUGAGCUCAGAGUGACAAGCAGAGCAAGGGGAGAGCGGCUGCCCGACACUUUUUGACGUCAGUUCUUAUAAUCCUGAGCAGUUGAUAACCAUGACACUCCAGAAAUUGGGUAUCACAUGUCACUGCAGAGCCUCAUGGAGCAGCGCUGAGGGGUUUCAGAGCUGCCUCACCCCUCUGAGUUUACCCAGGGAUUUUUUUUUUCCAGGCCCAUAAUGAGCGAGGCACAAUUUAACCCUUUAACCUCUCCCCACACACGGGUCACAUUUCAGCCCAAUAGAGGACACACACCAAGUGGCUCAUGUUUAUUUUCCAAUUGUCAUCUUCAGUUUACCUUGAAGAACCUGAUCUUUAAGUUGGUAACAAAUAGCUACUGAAACCAGCUGAGGAUUUUUUUUUUUUUUUUGUUGUUCCCCAGCUAUAAACCAGUCAGCCCCAAGAAAGACCCCAUGAGACUGUGGAACAUUUGCUUCUCAUGUCAGCUGAGAAGAUUCCCAAAACAGCCAAAGACAAAGUACGUCAGAUGGCUUUUAUAUUCCUGCUUUGCUCUGGCCAUGCUGGGUCAUCGAGGGAUAUAAAAUGUAUCAGACUCAGCUAAUUCAAUUUUCAGGCAGAAAGAACAUUUUAUUAAUGGCACUCUGAUUAUCUGUGCUGUUACGGCCUGAGCCAAUGGACAUCAAAGUCAUCGAUUGUCCUCAGCAAACCUCUGUGUAUUUAAAUUCUUUAAUGUAGUUUAGGACUUUAUUUAUAGCACUUUGAAUUCCCAAACAGGUAAAUUGUUAAGCUCUUGAUUUAAAUAGUUGUAUUUAUUUAUAGCCCUGAGCGCAAUUUCUUGAGCAUAUCCAGCUAAGGAGAGAUUCCAGAGAUAACAGCCCCAAAGUUCUGUCCAGGAACCAGAUGUAUCUCACACUCUUUUUUUCUCUCAAAAGUCUCAUUUAAUCUGUUUGAUAGCAGAGUUAUGCAGAAUUUAUGUUGAUAUGAAGCAGAAAAAAAUAAGAAAUCCCCAAGGAAUGUAUCCCUGGCUCCAGAGUCCUAUCCCAGCAUCACAAGUGUUGGAAAUUUAUUCCGGAUUGAGUCUCUAGGCAAAUCUGAUUUAAUCUAGAGAGUGUAUUCAUAUGGAUGGUGGAAGAGAACUUUGCAAGCAAGCCCAAACCCAAGCAGAGUCAUAUCCCAACGUGCAAUUUCUGAGGCAGAAUCAACGCAGACACAAUUUGCCACACGUAAUCUCACAUCAGCUGAGAAUUCCAAACCUCCUUGGAAAACAUCCUUUGCCAUCUGGUUUAACUGGACCUAAAGGCAGACGUUUGAAGUCUGCCCAUUUUGUGGUACUCCCCAAGUCUGGGGUUUCUUCGUUUUGCUCUAAUACAAAAUUAAAGCUUUGUAAAAAUGCCCACGGCUG